rnacentral:rRNA from 1 species
AGCAGCCGCGGUAAUUCCAGCUCCAAUAGCGUAUAUUAAAGUUGUUGCAGUUAAAAAGCUCGUAGUUGAAUUUCGGAAUCUGUCCGUCGGUCGGGCUUCACUGUCCGUACUGGCGUGGUGGGUUCUUACCUUCUGAAUAACCAGCAUGCCAUUCACUUGGUGCGCUGGGGAAGCAGGACUAUUACCUUGAAAAAAAUUAGAGUGCUCAAAGCAGGCCAGUGCCUGAAUACAUUAGCAUGGAAUAAUAAAAUAGGACGGCAUGGUUCUAUUUUGUUGGUUUCUAGGAUCACCGUAAUGAUUAAUAGGGAUAGUUGGGGGCAUUAGUAUUCAAUUGUCAGAGGUGAAAUUCUUGGAUUUAUUGAAGACUAACUUCUGCGAAAGCAUUUGCCAAGGAUGUUUUCAUUAAUCAAGAACGAAAGUUAGGGGAUCGAAGACGAUCAGAUACCGUCG